AAAGAAGCGAGAAUCGUGACUUAGCAACGAUGUAUGCGCGUCAAACCAGCGUAUGCACUGUGUUCAUUUUGUCAUUUUCUUAUCCAACGUCCCUUUCUCCUUUCUGCGUUUUGUACAACUCCAAUAGCAGGCUAGAGGGCGCGUGGAAUCGUCCUCACAACUCCGAGAUGAGGCCAUGUCGAACAGCGGGUACGCUCGACCAAUCUGAGUCGUCCGUCUCCCUUUACCUUUCUAGAAUGGGGUCAAAAUCUCAUGAAAAGGAUGUUUCCCUUAAUGGGGAAAAUAUUUUGAAUUUGUGGAUCCGAUUUCCUAUCUGAUUCUUCCAACUUUCCCCCCAAUUUCAAAAACCCUAAUUCGCCCCCCAUAUAUUGUAUAUUUCUAUUCACUGUAAAGGGGAAGGGAAAAAGAAGGGAAAUCUGAAAAAAAAAGGUUCGGAAGAUUUUUUGGGGUGUAAGAAAUUUUGAGAAAAAUAUAUCUAGGACGAUUUUAAGCAAAAGUAUACAGCUAAAAUACUCACUAUAUACAUUGAGGAAGUGAGGGGAGAAUAGAAAACAAUUAAUUUCUAUUCCAAGUCCCAUUCUUCCGUUUUGCCAUCCAUGAGCUCAUUUGGGUUUCCAUUCUAGUUCGCUGGUUCAUCGUUGGCGCUCGAGUCAUUUUUUUGGGAGUCUUUCACCCCUGCUUGUCCGUGUCAGUUCACUGCUCAAAAGGAGGAAAUACGAUGUUCAUGUUGGGAGGAAUGUAUUGCGACAAUAUCGACUCGUAUGUAUCAUGUUAUUCGCCAUUAUCUUGUUAGUUUAUACACUUACUGCUGGAAAUUUUAUUUGUCAUGUUAAUCAGUUUUUUUAACCUACGUACCCUCAUAAUCUUUAACUCUUCACAAUUGUUAUUCAUUAAUAAAAUUGGUAGUAUUUUAUCAUCCUAUACAUAUUUUGACUCUCGUGUAAGUUUAUGCCAUAUAUAUUUCGCAUCUUGAUCUCUCCUUCAUACGGUCGACCAAUCAAGUUGGGAUUAGGAUUUUCCCAUCUUUCCUUUAUUCACUAAGCUUACUUACUGCCAUUUCAUGAGUAUUGACUUGUUAUGGUAAAUUUUAAUGGGUUGUAUCCUAGUACUGAAUCACUUGAAUUAAUAUCCUUUUUGGCACUUGAUGCAACAGAGCAUGAUUUCCCCCUUUUUCUUAUUAUUUUUUAUAUUAUUAUAUUUAUUGAAUGACUUGUUACUUAUGUAUUUUUAUUCAUUCUUGCUGCAUGUGAGCGUCAUCAAAGUCUAUCAGAUCUAAAUCUCCUACGCAUUUCGAGUUGUUUAAAACCCAAAAUCCCUUAGUAUAUGUCGGCUUUAUCUUUUAAAGUCGAAUCAAGCUAUCACGCCCCCAUUUUUUCGUACUCUUUUGGAAUUUGGAGUUUAAGGAUUCGCCACCUAACGAAUUAAGAUGCGUUAGGAUACCUAUUUAACCUAACUAUGUCUAGCUAAGGUCAACAAGACAGAGAUCAGGGUAAGAGUUCAAAUUAUCUCGACGGAAAGGUGUUAGGAAUUCCUCAAGGUCCAUAAAUGUGGGUCCAAUCGUAUCUCAUGCAAUCUAUGUGGAAGUUACAAAUAGCAAUUAAAGUCAGUUCAUUUAUAUGCCUGCUAGGUGAUAAGAAAAUUUGAAUAAUUAAAUCUAUCUAUUAUUUUAAUUAAUUAGCUAAGCGUGUAAUGCUAUGUGAUAAUAUAAUAUUAAACAAUAAAGAUAGCAUCCUUAUUUUAAUUAAUUAUUUAGGCAUGCGAGACUAAGUGAUAAAAUAUUAAACAAAUUGAGGAAUAAAUUUAUUAUUUUUAAUUAAUUAUUUAAGCAUGUAAAAAUAAGUGAUAGCAAUAGAUAAAACAUCAAAUAAUAAUUUAAGGAUAAGCGAGAGGAUAGAAAAAGGGACAAAUAAAUAAGCAAAUAAUUUUUUUUAACCUACCCCAAAUAAACAUAAUUAUUAAACAAGUAAAAGGGUAAAAAGGGAAGGGAGACUCAAAUAAGACUUUUUGGAUCAGCACUCGACUUUUUUUUUUGAUAGGCUGCCGUAUAGGGACAGACAAAAUCAAAGUUUGUCUUUCAAGCCUGAGUCGAUGUCAUCAUCUCCGUAGGGCCAACUACCCCUACCCCAUCAGCACAUGCAUUUCGUACCUAAAAGGUGCCUAACGUCCCAACUUAAUUGUCCAAGAGGCAUUGGACUCUUAAAGGGUGGACUUAGACAAAAUAGAAUAUAAGAUCCUCAUAGACUCCAAGUCAAACAAACAAGGCAAACUAGACGGUCAUUUUAGCAAUACAAGUCUCAAUUUGGCCUUUAAAAAUCAAUUAGACAUUCAUGCAAACAACACAUAAUUGUGAAGGUUUUAUGCUAAGUGUGUAAACAUACAAACAGAAAAUUAUAGUAACGACAAUUUAAUUAUGAGAGGGCAAAUAUGAUAACAUGGAUGUAGAUUUUAAUAUUAACUUUAAAGUAAGCAACAAUUAGUGACAUGAUAGAUUUUGUUUUAUUUCCAAGUAGCAAAGGAUAUGAUCCACAUACACAUAUAUUUAAAACAAUAGAGAAUUUAAUUAUUAAUGCAAAAUAUAACUCAGGACAACACAUUUUAUUUAUUUAGGCAGAAAAUUUAUUUUAAGAAUAACAAUAGAUUUAAUGCAGAAAAUUAUUUUAGAAAGAAGCAGUAGCAAAAUAUUAUGAGUACAGAAAAUUAUUUGAAACAAUGUUUAACAUGCAAAAAUUAGUUAAUUGAGAGAAUUUUAUAAUAACAAAUUUAUUUAUUAAUGCAUAAGUUAUGUUUAAGAGAUAGUAAACUUAUUAGAUGCAAUAAAUCAAUAGGAAUUGUUUAUUUUUUUUAAAAAUAAAAAAUAUGCACAACAAAUUUUAUUUUAGUUAUUGAAAUGUUGAAAAUUUACAAGCCUAUUGACAUGAUCUGUAGGCAUUUUAACAUACUAAAAUGACAAAGUAAAGAGACAAAUCAAUUAUGAACAUGCUAAAAAUUAGUUGAACAUAAUUUCUAAGUGAUUUAAUAAUCAACACAUUCACAUAAGACCUAUAUGCAUGUUUUCUAACUCCAAAUGACAUGUGAAUGCAUCAAUUCUAUAGACAUGAUUUAUUCAAUGAGUAACUAAAAUGCACAUAAAAUUAUUUACUUAAGAUUUUAGUGAGUUAGUCAUAACUCAUUAUUUAACACUCCAAAUUGGAUAAAGCUUUCAAACAUCAAUUGUGCAAAAUUAACUAAAUGAUUGAGCGAAUAUAAUUUGCUUUAUUUUUAUUUUAUAUUUUUGUUAGAUCCAAAAUUAUUUUAUCACAUAAAGAUUUAUCAAACAAAUUAUGAACUUAUAGGCAUGCUUUUUAACACAAACAAGUUUGCAAUAAUUAUUUUUUUAAAAAAUUAACACAUAAUUCCGCCUCCCGAGGCGAUCCCCCAAAUUUCUUUAUAUAUAGGAGUUGCUUUAGAGUUAUACACAUAUUGUAAUAAAAAUAACAAAUAAAAAUAUACACAACAUUAAAAUAAGCAAAGCUUUGUCCGAAAUUUCUUCUAGGCCACUCUUCAUCAUCUUGAACUUUAAGUCUAAAACCUGCGAAAAUAAGUAAGGUAACACAUAUACAAUGGAAGAAUGAUUGUAAUGUAAAAUAUUCAUAAUAACUAAUUACUCUCAUAUAUACAUAUAUAAACAACACACAUAAGAAAUAAAAAGGACAAAAUAUAGACAUAGACAUAUCAACACACAUAGGGAGAAAAGAUAAGGAGUGUUUCCUUUUAUUCCCAACACACAACAAUAAUAAUAAAUGCCAAACAAAAAAUUAAAAAUAAUAGAGGGCUGACCAAUAGUAAAAUGCUAAUUAAGAAUACUAACCGGUUAAUCAGAAAAGAAAUAGUAGCAAUGAAAACAAAUUGAUCCAACUUUUAUUCGAACAAAAACAAAGUAGCAGAGUAGCAAAGAAGAGCACUUGAAUAUUAUACCGGAAUAUUAAUUUAUUUUUUAAGACUAGCAAGAGAGCAAUGCGAGAGUGAGGAGUGAUGAGAGAACCUGUGAUUUUAUAAGUAAAAAAUGACUUUAGUGUGAGUUGGGAGAAUGUGAGUUCUUCUCAAGAUGUGAGAGUGUGUGAUAAAAGAAUGAAAAGGGGGUCUUUUUAUAUAGUAGAAGAGGAGGGAACAAAUAAGAGAAAUAAAUAUUUAAAGGAAUCAAUUAUAAUACAAUUUUCUUUAUUUUAAAGGAGAUCCAAAAAUUAGAAAAUUCUAAGAAUAUUUCGUUACCAAAGAUAAACUUGUAAGAAUAAAAGUUGGGAAAAACAAUAAUAUUUUCCCUUAAAUAAAGAAAAGCUAAAAUUAAAUUAUUAUUAUGCUACCAAUUAUAAACAAAUAAGAAUAAAUUAGGAUGACCACAAUUAUUUUUUUCCUCAAGUAAUGAAGAGUCAAAAUUGACUUUUUAAAAUGAUUAUUAUUUUAUCAUAUAAAACAAGGAAAUCAGUCAAAAUUUCAAAUAAGAAAAGAGGGAUACUAUUUUCCUAAAUAAGAGAGCAUGGAAUCUUUUUUUAAGUGAAUAAAUAUUUUUUCCAAGAACAAAAAGGUAAGAAAUUCGCUAAUUUUACCAAAUGACUGAAAACUUAACUUAAGCAUAUUAUAACAUGCAUGAAAAGUAAUAGAAUAACAUACUUACAGUUAGUAACAUUCAUGAAAAUCAAAUAUAUCCAAAUAAACAUUGUGUCUUUAUCGAAUAAUCUACACUAUAAUUAAGCAAACCAAAUCUACAAAUUAAUAAUUAAGGAAAACAAAAUGCAAGGAUCGAAAUUAACAGGCUGAUUCCAAACCAACUUAGUGAACUAGACACUAGAAAAUUAACACAAAUACAAAAAUCAAAUAAUUAUCAACACCAAGAAUUUAAGUAUAUGAAUCAACGCAUAUUUCAAACAUCAUAAGUUAUAAUAAACAUAUUAGAAUAAUAGGAACAUAUGAUUAAACUAAAAAACUAAAAAAGAGUUGGAUAGACGAAGUAAUAAAUAAUUUAAAAAUACCAAAGACGAAUCUGUUGAGACCCGUCACAUGAUCCAAGGCCCGGAUAUCGCCGAAGCUUAUUGUUGGAGCCAUUGCCGGAGUUGUUGGAAGCUGCUGCUUUCGGCGGCUGCUUGUUGGUGGUGGCUCGUUGUCGGCUGUUGCUGGUUGAUGCAGUUGAAUGGGAGAGAGGAGAGGGUAGAAAAGAGGAAGAAGAGAGACGGCGGCUGCACCUGGAUCUUCGCCAGUUGCUGCUGCCCACCGGUGGUCGGACUGCCAGGCGGCUGCCACCAGCAGCCUUCGCCGCAAAACAGAGGGGGAAGAGAUAGGGAGAGGAGGAUCGACGGGGAAGAGGAACGAAGGAGAGGGGAAGAAAUGCGAGGGAGAGAGAGGGGCGGAGAGGAAGGCGAGGGGAGAGAGGAGGAUGGUGAGGAUCGAAGGGAGGCUCACCGGGAAAAAAUGGAGAGGGGGAAGGCGGUUGAAGAGGAAAGACGAUGAGUGAUAUUUUAGUAUUAAGUCUUUAAGGGUAUUAGAAAAUAGGAUAAAUAGGAGAUUUAAUCACAACCGUAAGAUUAAUUUAGAUAAGCGUCUAGGAUUUGAUCUAAGAUUUAUUUUAAAGAUGGAUGGAUGAGAUUAAAAGAUGAGGUCUUGAAAUUAGAUUGAAAAAGAUAUGGAAUGGCUAAAAAUGCAAUGAGAUUGGCUAGAAUUGAAAUGCGAGGGUGGCUGUGAUUGAAAUAAAAUUGGGAUUGGAGUGUAUUACCUUAACAUGGUCAAGUUGAAUUUUGACUAUUGUAAGUUGUUUACUUUCCUCUGGUUUCCUAGUAGUUUAUUAGCCUUGUAUUGUUUCAUAUUUCGAGUUAGAGAAUACCAUAUUCAUGUAGGGAAGAAUAUAUUGCGAAAA